rnacentral:misc_RNA from 1 species
AACGCAUAUUGCACCAAGUGCGCAAGCACCUGGUAUGCCUGUUUGAGAAUCAUCAAACCACAUAUUGUCCUUGUGACGUGUUGUGCCCGCAGCGAUGGGGCGCCGAGUUUCGUGCUGAUGUGUCAAGCAUACUCAUCUCUGUCCUUCCACAUCAUGAUCUCAAAUCAGGCAAGACUACCCGCUGAACUUAA